rnacentral:tRNA from 1 species
CGAACCCGAGCCUCCUGGGUGAGAGCCAGGUAUCCUAGCCACUAGACCAUAUCGGA